CAUCUAAGCACGAAACUUGCCCCGAGAUGAGUUCUCCCUGAGACUUAGAGUCUCCUGAAGGAACGUUGAAGACGACGACGUUGAUAGGCCGGGUGUGUAAGCGCAGCGAUGCGUUGAGCUAACCGGUACUAAUGAACCGUGAGGCUUAACCUUACAACGCCGAAG
rnacentral:rRNA from 3 species